rnacentral:rRNA from 1 species
UGGGGAAUAUUGCACAAUGGGCGCAAGCCUGAUGCAGCCAUGCCGCGUGUAUGAAGAAGGCCUUCGGGUUGUAAAGUACUUUCAGUCGGGAGGAAGGUGGUAAGGUUAAUAACCUUAUCAAUUGACGUUACCGACAGAAGAAGCACCGGCUAACUCCGUGCCAGCAGCCGCGGUAAUACGGAGGGUGCAAGCGUUAAUCGGAAUUACUGGGCGUAAAGCGCACGCAGGCGGUUGAUUGAGUCAGAUGUGAAAUCCCCGGGCUUAACCAGGGAAUUGCAUCUGAUACUGGUCAGCUAGAGUCUUGUAGAGGGGGGUAGAAUUCCAUGUGUAGCGGUGAAAUGCGUAGAGAUGUGGAGGAAUACCGGUGGCGAAGGCGGCCCCCUGGACAAAGACUGACGCUCAGGUGCGAAAGCGUGGGGAGCAAACAGG